UACGUAGGUGGCAAGCGUUAUCCGGAUUUACUGGGCGUAAAGAGCUCAUAGGUGGUUUGUCACGUCGUCUGUGAAAUUCCGGGGCUUAACCUCGGGCGUGCAGGCGAUACGGGCAAUACUUGAGUGCUGUAGGGGAGACUGGAAUUCCUGGUGUAGCGGUGAAAUGCGCAGAUAUCAGGAGGAACACCAAUGGCGAAGGCAGGUCUCUGGGCAGUUACUGACGCUGAGAAGCGAAAGCAUGGGGAGGCGAACAGGAUUA
rnacentral:rRNA from 1 species